rnacentral:rRNA from 1 species
CAAUAGCGUAUAUUAAAGUUGUUGCAGUUAGAACGCUCGUAGUCGGAUUUCGGGGCGGGCCGACCGGUCUGCCGAUGGGUACGCACUGGUCGGCGCGUCCUUCCUUCCGGAGACCGUGCCUACUCUUAACUGAGCGGGGGCGGGAGACGGAACGUUUACUUUGAAAAAAUCAGAGUGUUUCAAGCAGGCAGUGCGCUCUUGCAUGGAUUAGCAUGGGAUAAUGAAAUAGGACUUUGGUGCUAUUUUGUUGGUUUCGAACACCGAAGUAAGGAUUAAAAGGGACAGUCAGGGGCACUCGUAUUCCGCCGAGAGAGGUGAAAUUCUCAGACCAGCGGAAGACGAACCACUGCGAAAGCAUUUGCCAGGGAUGUUUUCACUGA